UUUGCUGGAGAUAUAUGUCAACGACCACUCUUUGUCCGCCACGUAUUAGUGCUCGUGCGUGUAUUCUUUACUUUAAUUGCAAUAUGUAUUUUGGUUAAAAUAAUCAAAUCCGCUUCGGACACUGUACAAUUGAUCAAACUAGAGCGUGGUUAUGUAAUAAACACGACCAUAAAACAUAGUAACUAUGAUUAAGAAGAAAUUAGCCACACACUUCCUAACGAGAGAAAUACAUUAAUGCCCCUUAACUAGAUACAAACCCUUUUUUCCUUUCGACUCCAAUUACCAAAAAAAAUGGUAAAUCCUUCUUUCGAAAUUAUCUUUCACCCUCUUGUUUCUCUCAAUCAAAUUGAGAACAUUCCUAACAAUUCAUUUGAUUAAUCAACCCUAUCUAUUUUUCAUCCCGAGUGGCCGUGAAUACAAGGUCUGAGUCUCUCCACAUAACCAUCCAAAUCGCCGUCGAAACUCUUAACACCUUUGGCACUGAAGUCAGACGGUUCUCCAGGAGUACUGGUGGUGCACAGAGCAUGCUCUUUGACUCGGGUUCAGGUGGUGGUCCAGAUCUGAUUGUUGAUGAUGGUGGUGACGCAACUCAGGUCGUCAUCCUCUGUGAGACAGUCUCAAAGCCGACGCCGAUUGUUACCGGAGAAAAUAAAUCCAAAUUCGUUUCCCCUCCAAGUGAAUCACUUGCCAACGGUGAAGCCUGUGGUGCGAGCAGGGAUCUGACCCUCUCCGAGGCUGUUAUUGAUUGAUCUAAAGGCCAAGACUUGGGUCUCGUAACUAGGAGAGUUGAUUCAGUGACAAUGGAGUUGGAGGAGAGAGAGGUGAUGAUGGAGAAGAUAAAGUUGAUAAAGCUGACGAUAAAGAGGAGGUGGUGGUGGAUGUGGUGAGGGUGAAUACAGUGGUGGAGGUGGCUACUCGAGGGAGGAGGUGGUGGUUUAUGCCAUGGUGGUGGAUGCCGUGGUGAUGGAUGCCGUAGUGGUGGAUGUGGAUACGUAUGUGGAAGACGUGAGGGUGGUAUAGUGGUUGUGGAGGUUGCUAUUAGAGAGGAGGAGGUGGUGGUGAAUACGGUGGAGGUGAAAUAUGUGAGAUCUUGGUGAUACAGAGGUGGUGAAGGCGGAGGGUACGAAAGAAGUCGGUGUUUGGUAAUUAGAUUUGGGUUUGAGACUGUUAUGACUGGUUGUUUGUUUAGAUUAUAACAGUUUUGGUAUUUGAUAUAGAGAAAAGAAUUGUUAA